GUGGAUGGAUGGCUCAGCUGUGAGACAGCCAUAGACUGCAUCGUCUUCAGAAGCACCUCGCCGUCCUGCGAUUUUUUCUGCCAUCAGAACUUGCCGUGGCUCUCUUAGGUGUUGCAGAGACUGGAUAGUGGAUACGUGUUCAUGGUGCAGACAUUCAUGAUGACUGAAAGGUGUGGCCUCUUGACCUCCUAUGAUCAGCUGGGGGCAGGGCAUCCUCGAUGCAUUUGAUUUUAUUCCAGUAAUAGUACCAUGUCUACGACUACUCUCCUUUCUUGUACUACUCUCCUGCAAUCCAAAGACCUAAAACAAAUUCUAUGUAUUUCUUAGGAUUUAACAUGUAGUUUCCCACAGAUUCAUCUAUUUUUUUUUCAUCCAGGACCGUUUUGCAUACAUCUCUGAAUUUAGUUACAUCCAGGUACUUUUUUUUAUUACAUGUAAGAACUAUUUUAGUACAUCAAAAAAGUAGCUGGAGA